rnacentral:rRNA from 1 species
GAUGAACGCUGGCGGCGUGCCUAAUACAUGCAAGUCGAGCGAAUGGAUUAAGAGCUUGCUCUUAUGAAGUUAGCGGCGGACGGGUGAGUAACACGUGGGUAACCUGCCCAUAAGACUGGGAUAACUCCGGGAAACCGGGGCUAAUACCGGAUAACAUUUUGAACCGCACGGUUCGAAAUUGAAAGGCGGCUUCGGCUGUCACUUAUGGAUGGACCCGCGUCGCAUUAGCUAGUUGGUGAGGUAACGGCUCACCAAGGCAACGAUGCGUAGCCGACCUGAGAGGGUGAUCGGCCACACUGGGACUGAGACACGGCGCAGACUCCUACGGGAGGCAGCAGUAGGGAAUCUUCCGCAAUGGACGAAAGUCUGACGGGGCAACGCCGCGUGAGUGAUGAAGGCUUUCGGGUCUUAAAACUCUGUUGUUAAGGAAGAACGCCAGGUAGAGUAACUGCUACCUGUGUGACGGUACUUAACCAGAAAGCCACGGCUAACUACGUGCCAGCAGCCGCAGUAA